rnacentral:rRNA from 1 species
GAGAGUUAAAUAGUACGUGAAAUUGUUGAAAGGGAAACGCUUGAAGUCAGUCGUGCCGGCGUUGGAUUCAGCUUGCUUCGCGGAGCAGGCGUAUUUCCGCGCAUGGCAGGUCAGCGUCGAUUUCGGAGGUUGUAAAAUACUUGGGGGAAAGUAGCUCUGCUUCGGGAGAGUAUUAUAGACCCUGGGGGAUGCAGCCUGCGGGAUCGAGGAUUGCAGCAAAUGCCUUUGGCUUGUCGCCUGAUCUCUGGAUGUUACCUCGCUUGUGACAACAUUCUUGCCACCUGUGGGUACUAAUGCCCAUUAGGUUAGAGCGAUCAAAAAUUUUGCUAAGGAUGCUGACGUAAUGGCUUUAAACGA